CCUACGGGUGGCUGCAGUGGGGAAGAGUGCACAAUGGGGGAAACCCUGAUGCAGCGACGCCGCGUGAAGGAAGAAGAAUGUCGGGAGGUAAACUUCUAUCAGCAGGGAAGAAAAGGACGGUACCUGAAUAAGAAGCCCCGGCUAACUACGUGCCAGCAGCCGCGGUAAUACGUAGGGGGCAAGCGUUCUCCGGAUUUACGGGGUGUCACGGGAGCGGAGGCGGCGAGGCAAGUCAGAAGUGAAAGCCCGGGGCUCAACUCCGGGACUGCUUUUGAAACUGUGUUGCUAGAUUGCAGGAGCGUUAAGUGGAUUUCCUUGUGUCGCGGUGACCUGCGUAGCUAUUAGGAGGAACACCAGUGGCGAAGGUGGCUUACUGGACUGUAACUGCCGCUGCGGCUCG
rnacentral:rRNA from 1 species